GGCUUAAUACAUGCAAGUCGAACACAGCACAGGUAGCAAUACUGGGUGGUAACCGGCAAACGGGUGCGGAACACGUACACAACCUUCCUUUAAGUGGGGGAUAGCCCAGAGAAAUUUGGAUUAAUACCCCGUAAUAUAGUUAGAUGGCAUCAUCUGAUUAUUAUAGCUACGGCGCUUAAUGAUGGGUGUGCGGCUGAUUAGAUAGUUGGCGGGGUAACGGCCCACCAAGUCUACGAUCAGUAGCUGAUGUGAGAGCAUGAUCAGCCACACGGGCAAUGAGACACGGGCCCGACUCCUACGGGAGGCAGCAGUAAGGAAUAUUGGUCAAUGGACGCAAGUCUGGACCAGCCACGCCGCGUGAAGGAUUAAGGUCCUCUGGAUUGGNNCUUC
rnacentral:rRNA from 1 species